rnacentral:rRNA from 1 species
CCUACGGGUGGCAGCAGUGGGGAAUAUUGCACAAUGGGGGAAACCCUGAUGCAGCGACGCCGCGUGAGUGAAGAAGUAAUUCGUUAUGUAAAGCUCGAUCAGCAGGGAAGAAAAUGACGGUACCUGAGUAAGAAGCCCCGGCUAACUACGUGCCAGCAGCCGCGGUAAUACGUAGGGUGCAAACGUUAUCCGGAUUUACUGGGUGGAAAGGGAGCGUAGACGGCAGUGCAAGUCUGGAGUGAAAGGCGGGGGCUCAACCCCCGGACUGCUCUGGAAACUGUACGGCUGGAGUGCAGGAGAGGUAAGUGGAAUUCCUAGUGUAGCGGUGAAAUGCGUAGAUAUUAGGAGGAACACCAGUGGCGAAGGCGGCUUACUGGACUGUAACUGACGUUGAGGCUCGAAAGCGUGGGGAGCAAACAGGAUUAGAUACCCCAGUAGUC